UUCCACAAAGAUCUGAAGACAUCAUAUUACAGUGAUACACGCCUACUUAUGUUUAUCACAGCACAAUUCACAAUAGAAUUUCCUUAAAUGUUGUACUGUGUCACAGUAAAACAACAGCAGCAACUAGAUAGGCAGCCAAGACUUUGGCAUGUCCUCUGUGGCCACUGAAGACUCUUCUACCACCAUAUGUAAAAGAUGAGCAAUUCCAUCUAAGACCCUUGGAACCACCAGCCCCCAGCCAACCUGCCAGCUGACUGCAGGCACAUGAAUGACCUCAGGAAAGAGAAAGAAUCACUCAGCAGAGCCCAGCCUGAAUUA